UGCUGAAUCCACAGUGUCCUCAUACCAGCUUGAUCCGACCUUGUUUGAUCUCUGAAGCCAAGUAGGGUUGGGCCUGGUUAGUACUUGGAUGGGAAACCGCUGAGAAUACGCAAGUGGAGUAA
rnacentral:rRNA from 1 species